rnacentral:rRNA from 1 species
UACGAAGGGGGCUAGCGUUGCUCGGAAUUACUGGGCGUAAAGCGCACGUAGGCGGCUUUCUAAGUCGGGGGUGAAAUCCUGGAGCUCAACUCCAGAACUGCCUUCGAUACUGGAGAGCUCGAGUCCGGGAGAGGUGAGUGGAACUGCGAGUGUAGAGGUGAAAUUCGUAGAUAUUCGCAAGAACACCAGUGGCGAAGGCGGCUCACUGGCCCGGUACUGACGCUGAGGUGCGAAAGCAUGGGGAGCGAACAGG